rnacentral:rRNA from 1 species
CAGUAGCCGCGGGAAUACAGAGGGUGCGAGCGUUAAUCGGAUUUACUGGGCGUAAAGCGUGCGUAGGCGGCUUUUUAAGUCGGAUGUGAAAUCCCUGAGCUUAACUUAGGAAUUGCAUUCGAUACUGGGAAGCUAGAGUAUGGGAGAGGAUGGUAGAAUUCCAGGUGUAGCGGUGAAAUGCGUAGAGAUCUGGAGGAAUACCGAUGGCGAAGGCAGCCAUCUGGCCUAAUACUGACGCUGAGGUACGAAAGCAUGGGGAGCAAACAGGAUUAGAGACCCCAGUAGUCCCUGUCUCUUAUAU